rnacentral:rRNA from 1 species
CCUACGGGAGGCAGCAGUGGGGAAUAUUGCGCAAUGGGCGAAAGCCUGACGCAGCGACGCCGCGUGAGGGAUGAAGGUCUUCGGAUCGUAAACCUCUGUCAGCAGGGAAGUACGGUCACUGUGCUAAUCAGCAGUGAAUUGACGGUACCUGAAAAGGAAGCACCGGCUAACUCCGUGCAAGCAGCAGCGGUAAUACGGAGGGGGCGAGCGUUAAUCGGAAUUACUGGGUGGAAAGGGCUCGUAGGCGGUAUGUCAAGUCAUGGGUGAAACCCCCGCGCUCAACGUGGGAACUUGCUUUGAAACUGGCAGACUGGAGUGUGUGAGAGGAGAGCGGAAUUCCAGGUGUAGGAGUGAAAUGCGUAGAUAUCUGGAGGAACAUCAGUUGCGAAGGCGACUAUCUGGAACAUAACUGACGCUGAGGAGCGAAAGCGUGGGUAGCAAACAGGAUUAGAUACCCUAGUAGUC